CGAGUCUUAACUGGGCGUUAAGUUGCAGGGUAUAGACCCGAAACCCGGUGAUCUAGCCAUGGGCAGGUUGAAGGUUGGGUAACACUAACUGGAGGACCGAACCGACUAAUGUUGAAAAAUUAGCGGAUGACCUGUGGCUGGGGGUGAAAGGCCAAUCAAACCGGGAGAUAGCUGGUUCUCCCCGAAAGCUAUUUAGGUAGCGCCUCGUGAAUUCAUCUCCGGGGGUAGAGCACUGUUUCGGCUAGGGGGCCAUCCCGGCUUACCAACCCGAUGCAAACUGCGAAUACCGGAGAAUGUUAUCACGGGAGACACACGGCGGGUGCUAACGUCCGUCGUGAAGAGGGAAACAACCCAGACCGCCAGCUAAGGUCCCAAAGUCAUGGUUAAGUGGGAAACGAUGUGGGAAGGCCCAGACAGCCAGGAUGUUGGCUUAGAAGCAGCCAUCAUUUAAAGAAAGCGUAAUAGCUCACUGGUCGAGUCGGCCUGCGCGGAAGAUGUAACGGGGCUAAACCAUGCACCGAAGCUGCGGCAGCGACACUAUGUGUUGUUGGGUAGGGGAGCGUUCUGUAAGCCGUUGAAGGUGUGCUGUGAGGCAUGCUGGAGGUAUCAGAAGUGCGAAUGCUGACAUAAGUAACGAUAAAGCGGGUGAAAAGCCCGCUCGCCGGAAGACCAAGGGUUCCUGUCCAACGUUAAUCGGGGCAGGGUGAGUCGACCCCUAAGGCGAGGCCGAAAGGCGUAGUCGAUGGGAAACAGGUUAAUAUUCCUGUACUUGGUGUUACUGCGAAGGGGGGACGGAGAAGGCUAUGUCGGCCGGGCGACGGUUGUCCCGGUUUAAGCAUGUAGGCGGAGGUUCCAGGUAAAUCCGGUACCUUAUUAAACGCUGAGGUGUGAUGACGAGGCACUACGGUGCUGAAGUGACAAAUGCCCUGCUUCCAGGAAAAGCCUCUAAGCAUCAGGUAACACGAAAUCGUACCCCAAACCGACACAGGUGGUCAGGUAGAGAAUACCAAGGCGCUUGAGAGAACUCGGGUGAAGGAACUAGGCAAAAUGGUGCCGUAACUUCGGGAGAAGGCACGCUGAUAUGUAGGUGAAGUGAUUUACUCAUGGAGCUGAAAUCAGUCGAAGAUACCAGCUGGCUGCAACUGUUUAUUAAAAACACAGCACUGUGCAAACACGAAAGUGGACGUAUACGGUGUGACGCCUGCCCGGUGCCGGAAGGUUAAUUGAUGGGGUUAUCCCUCGGGAGAAGCUCUUGAUCGAAGCCCCGGUAAACGGCGGCCGUAACUAUAACGGUCCUAAGGUAGCGAAAUUCCUUGUCGGGUAAGUUCCGACCUGCACGAAUGGCGUAAUGAUGGCCAGGCUGUCUCCACCCGAGACUCAGUGAAAUUGAACUCGCUGUGAAGAUGCAGUGUACCCGCGGCAAGACGGAAAGACCCCGUGAACCUUUACUAUAGCUUGACACUGAACACUGGUCCUUGAUGUGUAGGA
rnacentral:rRNA from 1 species